GGGGUUGUAGCUCAGUGGUAGAGCACUUGCCUCACAUGCAUGAGCCCUGGGUUUGAUCCUCAACACCA
rnacentral:tRNA from 1 species